AAAACAUUGGUUCUCAUAAGAGCACCAAAGUUAAGCAAUAUUGAGACUGGUCAGUACCUAGAUGGGUGACAACUUGGAAAUACCAGGUGCUGUAAU